UAAAAUAAAACAAAAAUAAAGGGAGGUCAAUUAAAGCACUACAGCUUAUAAUAGUACAUAUAGUACUAGAAGCUAGGGGUGAAGCCUCUUCAAAGCGGAGGGGUUUAAAUUUCGGUGUUUGAUAAUCCCCUAGGCUUUUGUUUCUGGGAAAAAACAAAACCAAAACAAUAACACCACAAAACAAGGGAACUUCACCCACUGCCUAAUCGCACCAUAACAACUACAAUAUGCCUUUAUUGGAGUAUUCCUUUAAAAGCAAAAGUUCUAAGUUGUGGCAUUGCUCAUCAGUUACAUUCUGUGCCCUUUGCUUCUUUGUAGAAAAAAAAAAAAGAACCAGUCGCAGUGUUUUUAUUGAGUGCUUUAUAACACGUGUACAUCAACUGCUCCACAUCCUGCUAAAUUAAUUUACAAGCAAUUUUAAAUAGAUCAAAAUACAACUUUUUUUGUUCAUUCAGAAAGUCCUCUGUGGGGAAAACACAGUCUUGUUCUCCACAGUGAAUCUUGAUUUCAAAUGUUAUAUUAUAAAAGUUUGUUCCCUGGAGCAUGCACCCGCCAUGAAAGACUUUUAAGUACAAAAAAAAUCAAAUCUUAACCAAAAAUACAUAUUUAACACUAAACCUACAUAUAGAAGAGGCAAAUUAAAAAGUACUAAUUGUAACCUCAAAAAAAUUAUAAAAACAAAACAAAAAAAACACAAAUAUUGAUACAAGGCUUUCAAACAAAGCUCUAUACUAUCACAUAUUCAAUAUUUCUUGCACAGAAACUAAAACUCCCUAUUAAUUUUGUGGGGAAAUUCAAGUUAAUAAGGUUUUAAUAAAAAAAGAACAUACAGUAUUUUGUCACAAAAUGUUUCAACAUAAUAAAAAAGUCAAGAAAAGAGCUAUUGAUGCACUUAGUGAAUGUGCUUGCACAGGUCCUCCAUGUUAAAUUCCUAUGUUGCGUAUCUCUUGGUCCACUGUCUGGCCAUUCGGUCAUGCUCCCCUCUGUUAGUCAUGUACUGAGUAGCGAUACUUCCAACGAGGGGGUCAGCUAUAAAAGAAAGAAAACAUGUUAUUUUAACAAAUUCAUUUUUUUAGAACUAAUUAGGAGUUUUAGAACUUUUUUCUACAGCCUCAGCCACAUCUGCUGUUGCAGAACGCUUGCGCCUGGGGACUCUUUUCCUGGUGUCCCUGGGUGUAGGACCAUGACAUUGGGAUUGUCCUGCUGAAGGUGUUUUAUACAGAACAAUAUUAAUAAUCUGUGUACAGAACAGUUUCUAAAUUAUAUUCCCUGUGACGGUCCUUCAGUUCACAAAGUCUGCAGUCUCGAUAGUAGUAAUCCAGACUCUAUGACUGUUUGACUCCACUCUCUCUUUUGCUCAUUUCUGCUGAAUUUUCAUUUAGAUCACACUCCCAGAUCGUACAUUUUUAAACACAAUGAGAGGGGAGGGCGCUGUACCAGACAAACAGAGGUGCAAAGUCCCCAGGUAUAUUUUACACUGUGUAUGUACAAUAUAUUGCGCUCACAUGGAUGGUAAGUGGAUAUCAGCACCAAGACUAGGCAUUAAACUAACGUAAAAGCAUAUAUUGUAAAUAAUUAAGUCUUUUUUUGCUAAUUGAAUACGGUUUUAUGUGUCAUGGGGAAAAAAAGGAGGAAAAGAUUGAAUGUGGCCUCGUUGUCUCAAAACAAAACUUUAAGGGCGUUAAAUAUAGUUGGCCGUGGAGAUAAUUUUCUACACACAUUUCUAAUUACAUUUGUAACAUCUUGGCUUUAUAGGUGGUUGUCAACAACACUCGGAAGAGUAUUUCUAUUGAUGCAAGUGCUUCUCUCAAACUGGCAAUGGUAAUAAAGUCCUGUAGUGCUUGUUUGUAAUCUUUUUAUUAGGUUUUAAAUCGCACAUGCCUUAUACAUUGUUUAGAAAUAAAACUCAGUAUAGCAUGGGUAUCUUAUGAGACAUUUUACAUUUUUAGAUGCUUUCACUUUAAAGUGGACCAGUCAUCCGCUAAUUGGUGGCAAUGUCAACCUUGUGUAAUAUAUAAAACAUAAUCGUAUAUUGCUGAUGAAUGUUUCAGUUU
rnacentral:lncRNA from 1 species